CCUACGGGUGACAGCAGUGAGGAAUAUUGGUCAAUGGCCGGAAGGCUGAACCAGCCAUGCCGCGUGAAGGUCAGUGCCCUAUGGGCGUUAAACUUCUUUUGUGCGGGAGCAAUAAUGGUCACGUGUGGCCAGACGAGAGUACCGUACGAAUAAGCAUCGGCUAACCACGUGCCAGCAGCCGCGGUUAUACGGGGGAUGCAAGCGUUAUCCGGAUUUAUUGGGUUUAAAGGGUGCGUAGGCUGUGAGGUAAGUCAGCGGUGAAAUGCCCCCGCUCAACGGGGUGAAGUGCCAUUGAUACUGCCUUGCUGGAGUGCGGAUGCGGUGGGAGGAAUGUGUGGUGUAGCGGUGAAAUGCAUAGAUAUCACACAGAACACCGAUUGCGAAGGCAGCUCACGAAUCCGCGAUUGACGCUGAUGCACGAAAGCGUGGGUAUCAAACAGGAUUAGAUACCCCAGUAGUC
rnacentral:rRNA from 1 species